GAUGAACGCUAGCGGCAGGCCUAACACAUGCAAGUCGAGGGGUAAGAAGAGCUUGCUUUUCUGAGACCGGCGCACGGGUGCGUAACGCGUAUACAAUCUACCUUGUACAGGGGGAUAGCCCAGAGAAAUUUGGAUUAAUACCUCAUAGUGUUAUUGAGUGGCAUCACUUGAUAACUAAAGUUCCAACGGUACAAGAUGAGUAUGCAUCCCAUUAGUUAGAUGGUAAGGUAACGGCUUACCAUGACAAUGAUGGGUAGGGGUCCUGAGAGGGCGAUCCCCCACACUGGUACUGAGACACGGACCAGACUCCUCCGGGAGGCAGCAGUGAGGAAUAUUGGACAAUGGGGGCAACCCUGAUCCAGCCAUGCCGCGUGCAGGAUGACGGUCCUAUGGAUUGUAAACUGCUUUUAUACAGGAAGAACCCCUUCUUUGCGAAGAAGACUGACGGUACUGUAAGAAUAAGGAUCGGCUAACUCCGUGCCAGCCGCCGCCGUAAAAC
rnacentral:rRNA from 1 species